rnacentral:rRNA from 1 species
GCCUGUUUUACAAAAACAUUGUCCUUAGAUGGUGGAUUGGGGGUAAUUUCUGCCCACUGCAAUUUUUGUAAAGGGCUGCAGUAUUUUGACUGUAUAAAGGUAGCAUAAUCAUUAGUUUUUUAAUUGAAGGCUGGUAUGAACGGGGAAACAGGGGGGAUGUGUAUUAUUUAAGGGAGUUGAAUUUUAUUUUUUUGUGAAAAAUCAAAAUUAAAAUUAAAGGACAAGAAGACCCUAUUAAGUUUAAUUGGUAUUUAUAAAAAGCAUAAAGGUAAAAAAUUUUUAGGUGAAGAGAUUAGUGUAAUUUUUGAGUAUAAGUUUAGUUGGGGCGAUGAAUUUGAAACAGUAUUUUGUUUAUUAUUUUUUUGAGGCGUGGUAGAGACCUAGGGGUUCUAGAUGAAUGAAAAAUUACUUUAGGGAUAACAGCGUUAUCACUCUUAAAAGUUCUAAUCGACGGAGUGGUUUGCGACCUCGAUGUUGGAUUAUGAUUAGCGUUGGCGCAGUCGUUGACAAAUUUUGGUCUGUUCGACCAGUAGAAUCAUACGUGAUCUGAGUUCAGACC